GAUGAUGUGGAUUAAUUCGAUGCAACGCGGUUUACCUUACCUACCCUUGACAUGUCACUAACGAAGUAGAGAUACAGUAGGUGCUCGUAAGAGAAAGUGAACACAGGUGCUGCAUGGCUGUCGUCAGCUCGUGUCGUGAGAUGUUGGGUUAAGUCCCGCAACGAGCGCAACCCUUGUCUUUAGUUGCUACGCAAGAGCACUCUAAAGAGACUGCCGGUGACAAACCGGAGGAAGGUGGGGAUGACGUCAAGUCCUCAUGGCCCUUACGGGUAGGGCUUCACACGUCAUACAAUGGUGCAUACAGAGGGUUGCCAACCCGCGAGGGGGAGCUAAUCUCAGAAAAUGCAUCGUAGUCCGGAUCGUAGUCUGCAACUCGACUACGUGAAGCUGGAAUCGCUAGUAAUCGCGGAUCAGAAUGUCGCGGUGAUACGUUCCCGGGUCUUGUACACACCGCCCGUCAUACCAUGGGAGUGGUU
rnacentral:rRNA from 1 species